rnacentral:rRNA from 1 species
GGCUCAGGAUGAACGCUAGCGGCAGGCUUAACACAUGCAAGUCGAGGGGCAGCGGGGAGUAGCAAUACUCUGCCGGCGACCGGCGCAAGGGUGCGUAACGCGUGAGCAACUUGCCCGUGUCAGGGGGAUAACCGGUGGAAACGCCGACUAAUACCCCAUAACACAGAGGACCGCAUGAUCCUCUGUUGAAAGAAUUUCGGACACGGAUGGGCUCGCGUGACAUUAGGUAGUUGGUGAGGUAACGGCCCACCAAGCCGACGAUGUCUAGGGGAACUGAGAGGUUGGUCCUCCACACUGGAACUGAGACACGGUCCAGACUCCUACGGGAGGCAGCAGUGAGGAAUAUUGGUCAAUGGACGAAAGUCUGAACCAGCCAUGCCGCGUGAAGGAAUAAGGCCCUAUGGGUCGUAAACUUCUUUUGUAUGUGAGCAAUAAGGUCCACGUGUGGACCGAUGAGAGUAGCAUACGAAUAAGCAUCGGCUAACUCCGUG